rnacentral:rRNA from 1 species
UACGAAGGGGGCUAGCGUUGCUCGGAAUUACUGGGCGUAAAGCUCACGUAGGCGGCUUCUUAAGUCGGUGGUGAAAUCCUGGAGCUCAACUCCAGAACUGCCUUCGAUACUGGGAAGCUCGAGUCCGGGAGAGGUGAGUGGAACUGCGAGUGUAGAGGUGAAAUUCGUAGAUAUUCGCAAGAACACCAGUGGCGAAGGCGGCUCACUGGCCCGGUACUGACGCUGAGGUGCGAAAGCGUGGGGAGCAAACAGG